CAGCCGCCACGGUAAUACGUAGGGUGCAAGCGUUAAUUGGAAUUACUGGGCGUAAAGCGUGCGUAGGUGGUGGUUUAAGUCCGUUGUGAAAGCCCUGGGCUCAACCUGGGAAUUGCAGUGGAUACUGGGUCACUAGAGUGUGGUAGAGGAUAGUGGAAUUUCCGGUGUAGCAGUGAAAUGCGUAGAGAUCGGAAGGAACAUCUGUGGCGAAGGCGACUAUCUGGGCCAACACUGACACUGAGGCACGAAAGCGUGGGGAGCAAACAGGAUUAGAUACCCCCGUAGUCCCUGUCUCUUAUAC
rnacentral:rRNA from 1 species